ACUCAUCGCACAUGAAAAAGAGGGUUUGAUAGCCAGAGACCAGAGAAACUGAAGAGAUGGGAGACAGAAACCGUAGGCUCUCCGGCGUCGAUACAGAGGAUCCACCGCACAUCGCUCUCCGGCGUCGACAUAGGGGAUCCGCCGCACAUCGCUCACCGACGUCGACAUGACAGAGUGGAUCCGCCGUGCGUGGCGGCUCUCCGGUGCCCACAACAGAAUGGAAAUGAACAGUUGUGCCUGUUGAAUCACAUGUCUACCACCGCUGUAUGUUCGCCGGUCUUCACCAACAACGGCGACACCAGUUGACAGUUGCCGAGUUUUCAGGUAUGAUGUCUCUGUUUUUCUUCGCUAUGUGUUUGCUUUCUUAAACGACCUAUGAUCUGAACUGGUAUGGGUUUUCCGGUGACGGGGACGACUCGCCGGAGAAGAUCGUUUUGAAUGUUUUCGUUCCCCGCGUUGUUUGCUAUCAAAGAUAGAUUCAAAUGAAUCUAAUUUUACAUAUAAAAAUAGGCACAUCAAGUAUUUGU